rnacentral:tRNA from 1 species
AGCCAUGGCUCAGUGGUAGAGCAUCAGCUUAGCAUGCAGAAGAUUCCAGGUUCAGUUCCUGGUAUUGUCA